rnacentral:lncRNA from 1 species
GGUACAGCAGAUGCAGGGCGGUGUAGGAGGGAAGCUGGUGCUGGCCUUCCAGCACCAUCCUGUGCUGGGUUGUUUCCAGACCCACUGCCUGCUUUACCCCUCCUUGGCUUAGAUCAUGGGUGGGACAGAGGAAGGGACAUGACACAGAAAAGGACUGUCAGAUGACCACACAACUUCUAUUGCCAGCUCAUCUGAUAUGUGGAUCCCAGGUGAGGGACAGAAGGGAUGGAAGACAGAGGAAAGAGAAAGCAAGCCUGUGCCUCUUCUCAUAUCUGGCAAUGUGUCUGGAAGAGAUAUAUGUCUUCUUCAUUGUUCUGUCCCUAUGGCCAUCUUCUCCUCAGGGUCUAAACUACUGCCACAUGCUGUCCCCUUCCUGUGGCACCCACUUUACAAGUGAAGUCAACUUGCUCAUGGAAGACACCAUCUGCCUCA